AUGCUGCACGGACGGAACUCAUCUCCCCCAAAUUUAGCUGCAGGAGACAGAAGCGCAGGCAGACAGAGGGAGGGAGAGAUGAGACGAGGUGGUGGUGUGUGUGGGGGGGGUGCAGGGCAGGCCUACACGCACUCACAUCCUACCAGCAGCUGCCGUGGCAGCUUCCUGGUCGCCUGCUUGGUGCACAUUGCCCUUAGAAAACUCUGUCAUGUUUCCACACCGAACCAGGCAUGUGCAGUUUCCACAGUGACUGCAGGAGCAGAGCCAGAAAUAACCUCGCUGAGGUGGAAAACAUCCCUUCCUUGGUGCUCCACUGGCUCUCAGACACUUACUCUCCCUUGUCGCUGUGGUCUUGCAGGUGCAAGAGGCCCUUCCAGGGCUUGGUGGCCACUUAGGGGGACGGGCGCAGUGUGGACUCGCCCCCAGGGAUCUGAGUGCGGCUGGGCUGGCACCCUCGCCUCCUCAUGCGCCCUGGAGAGCUGUCUACCCUCCUUCUUGGGCUCACCACCGCUGAGCUGGAGGGCCCUACAGCAUCGCAGCCCUUCCUUCUCUGACGUCUGGCCACCAAACACUGGGAUGCGCUGGGUACGCCUUUGGCCCCGACACACGUGCUGCUCAGCCCUUGCCCCUCCUCGGGCUUCCAGGAUGCGACUGGAUCCUGCCUGGGAUGCGGGCCCAAACAGGGAAGCGACCACUCUCACGAGCCCAGGUGGUCCCCUGCUCUGCCAUUGGGGGAGGGGUGGCAAGCCCACCCGCCUUUUGCAUGUCUGCCCUGGGAGACCCAUAAGGGAGCUGGCUCUAAACUCUAUCUCCUCCCAAGGUUCCCAUAACCCUCUAGGGAGGUUUCCUCUAAGAACAAGAUCUCAUCCCCUGUGGGGGCUAAAAGAUGUGCUGAAGUAUAGAGGAAGCCAACAAAUAUCUAGGCCGUGCUAUCCACAUGACACGUAUGACAUGGUGUCCUUGGGACCCUGGGAAAUACUCGCCAUGGCCUUCUCAUGUUUUACCCAUCAGAGGCAAACAAGAGUGAGCACAGCUUCUACGUGCUGGGUCGUGGGCUGA
rnacentral:lncRNA from 1 species